UCAGUCAAACGAGUGUCCGGAAAAACAUGGCGGAUUUUCAUGUUUGCUGACGCCAAUUGGUUCCUCCGGCUCAUGGCAAUUGCCACUGACCAACCGCGAUCCUGCGCUUGAAAUAAAAUCCUUCACCCCCCUGGUUUUUGCAAAAAUUUUGGUCAUAAUUUUCGAGUUUCGACCGAAAAUUUUGAUAUUUUCGCAGUCGAGGAAAAAGUGUGUUAGUUUUAAGUUUUUAGUCUGCUUGUAGAUGAAACAAUUCACUCGAAGGAUUAUUAUAUUUCUUGUUUUCAGGUAAGAU